GACGAACGCUGGCGGCGUGCCUAAUACAUGCAAGUAGAACGCACAGUUUAUACCGUAGCUUGCUACACCAUAGACUGUGAGUUGCGAACGGGUGAGUAACGCGUAGGUAACCUGCCUGGUAGCGGGGGAUAACUAUUGGAAACGAUAGCUAAUACCGCAUAAUAUUAAUUAUUGCAUGAUGAUUAAUUGAAAGGUGCAAUUGCACCACUACCAGAUGGACCUGCGUUGUAUUAGCUAGUAGGUGAGGUAACGGCUCACCUAGGCGACGAUACAUAGCCGACCUGGGAGGGUGGUCGGCCACACUGGGACUGGGACCAGGCCCAGACUCCUACGGGAGGCAGCAGUAGGGAAUCUUCGGCAAUGGACGAAAGUCUGGCCGAGCAACGCCGCGUGAGUGAAGAAGGUUUUCGGAUCGUAAAGCUCUGUUGUAAGAGAAGAACGGGUGUGAGAGUGGAAAGUUCACACUGUGACGGUAUCUUACCAGAAAGGGACGGCUAACUACGUG
rnacentral:rRNA from 1 species